rnacentral:rRNA from 1 species
UACGUAGGGUGCAAGCGUUGUCCGGAAUUAUUGGGCGUAAAGAGCUCGUAGGCGGUCUGUCGCGUCGGCUGUGAAAACCCGGGGCUCAACCCCGGGCCUGCAGUCGAUACGGGCAGACUAGAGUGCGGUAGGGGAGACUGGAAUUCCUGGUGUAGCGGUGAAAUGCGCAGAUAUCAGGAGGAACACCGGUGGCGAAGGCGGCUCACUGGCCCGGUACUGACGCUGAGGUGCGAAAGCGUGGGGAGCAAACAGG